AGUGAACGCUGGCGGUAGGCCUAACACAUGCAAGUCGAACGGCAGCACAGGAGAGCUUGCUCUCUGGGUGGCGAGUGGCGGACGGGUGAGGAAUACAUCGGAAUCUACUUUUUCGUGGGGGAUAACGUAGGGAAACUACGCUAAUACCGCAUACGACCUACGGGUGAAAGCAGGGGACCUUCGGGCCUUGCGCGAUUGAAUGAGCCGAUGUCGGAUUAGCUAGUUGGCGGGGUAAAGGCCCACCAAGGCGACGAUCCGUAGCUGGUCUGAGAGGAUGAUCAGCCACACUGGAACUGAGACACGGUCCAGACUCCUACGGGAGGCAGCAGUGGGGAAUAUUGGACAAUGGGCGCAAGCCUGAUCCAGCCAUACCGCGUGGGUGAAGAAGGCCUUCGGGUUGUAAAGCCCUUUUGUUGGGAAAGAAAUCCAGCUGGCUAAUACCCGGUUGGGAUGACGGUACCCAAAGAAUAAGCACCGGCUAACUUCGUGCCAGCCGCCGCCGCGG
rnacentral:rRNA from 1 species